rnacentral:rRNA from 1 species
GUGAGGAAUAUUGCGCAAUGGAGGCAACUCUGACGCAGCCAUGCCGCGUGCAGGAAGAAGGCGCUACGCGUUGUAAACUGCUUUUAACCGGGAAGAAACCCCAGGACGUGUCCUGGGUUGACGGUACCGGAGGAAUAAGCACCGGCUAACUUCGUGCCAGCAGCCGCGGUAAUACGAAGGGUGCAAGCGUUAUCCGGAUUCAUUGGGUUUAAAGGGUGCGUAGGCGGAGCGUUAAGUCAGUGGUGAAAUCCUGCAGAUUAACUGUAGACUUGCCAUUGAUACUGGCGCUCUUGAGUGCGCUUGAAGUGGGCGGAAUGUGCCGUGUAGCGGUGAAAUGCUUAGAUAUGGCACAGAACACCAAUUGCGAAGGCAGCUCACUAAGGCGAUACUGACGCUGAGGCACGAAAGCGUGGGGAUCGAACAGGAUUAGAAACCCGAGUAGUCC